ACAUCCGCUAACCACCGAAUUAGCAUAAUUAAUAUUUUGAAUUAGAUAAAUAUAUAGCAAACUCAUUGCACAUCAUGAGUACACACUCUUUUCAGGUCACAAACCUGCUAUGGGCUUCUUAAUGUACGCAAGUAUAUAAUUUUAAAGAAACGUGAGCUACAUUAUGGGCAGCCUAGCGGAUCAGUCAAUUAUAUAGGGUAAUUUAGCUGAAAUAAAACGUACAAAAAACGCAAUGCUCGGACACCACACUUCAGAGCUGAACUGAAGCAACCCAAAGCAGAGCCAAAGUAUUUAAAACAUCUGCGCAGUUAAGGUGCGUAACGUUUAAGGUCUGCUUUCGCUAUUCUAAGAUUUCAACAAAAAGCUAUGCCAUGCGUGAAAUUAUAUGCGCAUCGUUUUGUUUAGGUUUUCCCCUGUGUGGGGGGUAGGGGAAACAUGUUUCGGAUUUCAUCGAUACUGAUUACUCCCCGUCACCAUCAGCAAAAAUUCAAUUAUUUAAGACCUCAUUGGUUACAACCAACAGGAAUAACAUUUCAAUUUGAAAUUCUGGCUAUAUUACUGAUCUCAGUUGACUACACCCUACCAAACCGGUCAGAAGACCACGCUCAAGAAUACGACUGCUUCAUAUAAAACCCAUUCCAAAGACCUCAUUCUGCUAUAUUGUUCACAACCAGGAAGACUGAAAACAUCUUAUGGAAAGAGUCCAUCAGAACACCCAGAGAAUUAUCUUUUAAUCUGAUGCUUAGUUUGAUUGCUUCCUCAAACAUCACUGAACACCUUUGUACAUAUAUCCAGAUUAUGACUAAAAUAAACACAAGUACAAUGUAUUUAUGUAUUGUAUCAUGAAAACAAAAUGGCCAAAUUAUGAUGCUAAGAAUUUGUAUAAAUUCAAAUAUAUGGCCUUUUGAUGAAAUAUUUUUAUGUGAUCCAAAUAUUUAAUGUAUUAUUUUACCAAUUAUAAUUUUUAAAGAGGGUGGACAUUUAAGAUACAUAAAUUUGGAUAUGUGAAUCUUUUUUAUGUUUGAAAAUUUUGUCAUUAAAGCAUUUGUUUUAAAACCUUCUUCCAUGUCACAACUUCUGUCAUGAAGUUGUGACAUUUGUCGACAGAUCACCAUGAUAAAGUAUAAACUGACUUGAAAGUCAUUAGCAGUUUGCUACAGCAGUUAUUCUGUUGAUUAAUUACUUUCAUGACCAACGUCCCAAUUUUCAUGUGAAAUGCAAUGCAAUCAAGGGUUUUUUUUAAGUUUUUUUAAAAAUAUUGGUUAAUACAAUUUUUGUUUUCAUUUGGCUUCAUUGUAUUAUUAAAUUAUAACAUUCAUUUUAAUUUGAAUGUGAUGUUUGUCAUCAUUCAUUCACAAUACCAGGUUCUUUCUUUGUGUUAACAAUAGUGUGUGCCUUAUAAUAUACACUGGAAAAUAGUGAAAAUCACCUGGAAAAUAAUUUUUGUUAAAUCAUUUUCUUUACACCUAAAUCACCCAAAUCAAGCUUUAUUUAUUAAAAUUUAACAGAAAAACAUUAUGUUUGUGUUGUUAGAAGCAUCACUGAGGGGAAAUAUAUUUCUAUUUUUAAUUUUUUCAUGAAAUAAAGUAUGUUAAUUGAUUAGGACUAAAAAUAAUGAUGCAUAUUUUUAAAAAGAUAUUUGUGAAAGAUUUUUUUGCGAAACAUUUCCAUGGGUAUUGAACAUUAUACAACAAUGGCACUAUCAAACCCCAGGAGGAGUAUAGACAUAGAACAUUCUAAGAUAUACUACAGUAUCAGCAUAUUCAUCAGGAAUGAAAGAGAAAUAAAUGGACACUUCUUGAUAGUAUCUGCCAUCUUUUUCUUCUCUUCAUGUCAUCAAUGCCUGAUGAGUGAUUUAAAAAAUAACUUUUCCAGCAAAUUGAAAUGAGAAAGAGGAAAUGUUAGAGAACACAUUUUAUACCUACUUGUGCUCUAAAAGCCCUUGACAACACUUCCAAACAUUUUGUGUAAGAUUUAGACUCUGAACUUUUAGAAUCUGUCAGUGUGUGGGGAGAAAAGUCACUAGACAAUGUAAAACAGGUUAAACCUGAACCCACAACCACCUCACCCUGACCUUUGUAUCAACAUGCAUUCCCACUGUACAACAACAUGCAAAAUAAAACAUUCCUGAGAUACAGAAGUUCCCAUUUUAAAAAAAUAAAGAUAAAAUAUGUGAUGUACCUAGUAAUGAAAAGAAUAGCCAGAGGCAAACUAACCAUAGAACAGUUUUUAUUAAUUUCAAUUAAUAUUUGUUAUCCUGUCUCUCAUUCUUUUCCAAUUCUGUCUCUGCCAUUGUAUGCCAAUAAAAGCACUGAUGCAAAGUCUUACAAAUAAAAAGUAAAAAUGGAAAACAGUAUGAACUGUUAUGGAAUUUGCAAAUUAAAACUUGUCUAUUACAGACAGUGAUAUUCCCACACUAUACCUUGUUGAACAUACAUGGAUAAAAGGCCACCAAGCAUUUGUCUGUCAGGCAUUACAUUUUAUUGAGUCUCGCCCAGUGUCACUGAAUGGUUUGUCCUUAUAAGUAAUCAAUUUUGCAGGUGCUAUGGAUGGAAUAAAAACGUGGUCUAAAUUUGAAUAUAAUUUUACGGUAAAAAAUCCCACUCGGGUUUUGAUUCAUUCUGAGCUGUAUUUGCCUCUACAAUAUGCAAACUGAAUGCCCUGGAGAUAAAAGGAUGAAGAACAUGAAUUUUGUGUGAAUUUAAAUAAAACCCAUUCCACAUCUGA